rnacentral:rRNA from 1 species
GACGAACGCUGGCGGCGUGCUUAACACAUGCAAGUCGAACGGAAAGGCCCUGCUUUUGUGGGGUGCUCGAGUGGCGAACGGGUGAGUAACACGUGAGUAACCUGCCCUUGACUUUGGGAUAACUUCAGGAAACUGGGGCUAAUACCGGAUAGGAGCUCCUGCUGCAUGGUGGGGGUUGGAAAGUUUCGGCGGGUGGGGAUGGACUCGCGGCUUAUCAGCUUGUUGGUGGGGUAGUGUUUUACCAAGGCUUUGACGGGUAGCCGGCCUGAGGGGGUGACCGGCCACAUGGGGACUGAGCCAAGGCAGAGACCUCAAGGGGAGGCAGGGGGGGGUAUUCUUUGCAACGGGGUGGAAGCCAGUUGGACCACCCCGCGUUGGGGGGAGACGGCGUUUGGGUUGCAAACCGCUUCCGCUUGCAAAGAAGGUGACAUGAGGGGACUGGGAAAAGAAGACGCGAAUAACCAGAC